rnacentral:misc_RNA from 1 species
GUAUAUUCAUAAGUAUUAUCAGUACAACAAUGAUACAGUUUACAUGUCAAUUGGAUCGCUCAAUCCAAGGCAAGGCAAAAAUGUGCCGUGAAAUGUAAUAGGAAGUGGGCGUUAAGCCUCAGGCUCUUUCUUGUAAAGAGAAUUAUUCUGCUCAUCUUAGUUACAUGCCCAGCGCAACAAAUAGUAUCAUGUACGUCUCAUCCAUAAAAUUUCUAGUUCACAAGUUAAGAGUUCAAUUAAGUAUGCAAAUAACUCCAAAAAUUAAAUUCAAUACGAGUAAUCAGAGAAGGGCUACUGAGGUGGCACCGUAGUAUGAUCUUGUUGAGCUGGCGCAGCAGCGGGCUGUUCUUGUUGUGGUGCUGCAGAGGGCUGCUUUUGUUGAGAUGGUGCAACAGGCUUUUCUUGUACUGCUGCUGCAGACUUUUUCGGUUGAGCUGGGGCGGCAGGCUGUUCUUGUAUGGAUCUUACACAAGGCCUCCAAGCUGUUUCGGUCGUCCCUGUAAUGUCCAUUAAAGAGAUACCCUUGGCAGCUAGAUCAGUUCUGAUUUGAUCGCUUCUAGCGAAAUCUUUGUUUUUCCUUGCUAGUGCUCUUUCCUCUAUUGCAUGCAGAACAUCUUCCUCUGUUAACUCAGCCCUUUUCAAUGCCCUCUGUUUAAGUUGCUGCAGAACCUCAGCAGAAGUUGAACCAGCAAGCAAGCCAAGAACAUCCAAUACUGCCUUCACUUCUUUCAAGAGCUCGGUCAGGGACAAAGAUGCAGAUAAGUGUUGUUGCUUUUGCUGCUUUUUCUUCAGUAUGGUCAAGCAACUAUUCAUUUGUUUAAGGGCUUCUUGAAGAGCAGCAUUUAAAAUUGUAGGUGUAUGCAAGUCAUCAGAGAGCUUUGUCUUCAACUCAUUACGCAGCUUAUUGAUGCAUUCUUGGGCCUGAGGGGUAACACGCCCCUUUGCAUUUUUUGCAGUUUCAGUUCCUUGUUGGAAAGCUGACAAGGUUUCUUCAGAAUCUAGUAAGGUCUGAUAAAUGUAGAACACAGAUUCUGAAGCAAUUUCUAUCUGUGAUAUUGAAUAGUUAACCGGAGAUCGGUAGUGAUUCCCCAACAAGAAGUACCUCAAUGCAAGGGGAUGGUACAAUCGAGUAACCUCACGUAUAGUGAAGAAAUUCCCCAAUGAUUUCGACAUUUUCUCAUCAUCUAUGUUCACAAAACCAUUAUGCAUCCAGUAGCUAAUAUUACUCUCUCGGCAAGCAGUGCAACUCUGGGCAAUCUCAUUUUCA